rnacentral:rRNA from 1 species
CCAACAGGGAUUGCCUCAGUAGCGGCGAGUGAAGCGGCAAAAGCUCAAAUUUGAAAUCUGGCGUCUUUGGCGUCCGAGUUGUAAUUUGAAGAAGGUAUCUUUGGGCCCGGCUCUUGUCUAUGUUCCUUGGAACAGGACGUCACAGAGGGUGAGAAUCCCGUGCGAUGAGAUGACCCGGGUCUGUGUAAAGUUCCUUCGACGAGUCGAGUUGUUUGGGAAUGCAGCUCUAAGUGGGUGGUAAAUUCCAUCUAAAGCUAAAUAUUGGCGAGAGACCGAUAGCGAACAAGUACAGUGAUGGAAAGAUGAAAAGAACUUUGAAAAGAGAGUGAAAAAGUACGUGAAAUUGUUGAAAGGGAAGGGCUUGAGAUCAGACUUGGUAUUUUGCAUGUUGCUCUCUCGGGGGCGGCCGCUGCGGUUUACCGGGCCAGCAUCGGUUUGGAGCGGCAGGAUAAUGGCGGAGGAAUGUGGCACGGCUUCUGCUGUGUGUUAUAGCCU